rnacentral:rRNA from 1 species
GGAUUAGAUACCCUGGUAGUCCACGCUGUAAACGAUGAGUACUAGCUGUUGGAUCUGGUGUAAAAGAUUUAGUGGCGCAGCUAACGCGUUAAGUACUCCGCCUGGGGACUACGGCCGCAAGGUUAAAACUCAAAGGAAUUGACGGGGACCCGCACAAGCGGUGGAGCAUGUGGUUUAAUUCGAUGCAACGCGAAGAACCUUACCUGCCCUUGACAUCCACAGAACUUUCCAGAGAUGGAUAGGUGCCUUCGGGAACUGUGAGACAGGUGCUGCAUGGCUGUCGUCAGCUCGUGCCG